UGGAUGAUGUGGUUUAAUUCGAUGCAACGCGAAAAACCUUACCCACCUUUGACAUGUACGGAAUUUGCCAGAGAUGGCUUAGUGCUCGAAAGAGAACCGUAACACAGGUGCUGCAUGGCUGUCGUCAGCUCGUGUCGUGAGAUGUUGGGUUAAGUCCCGCAACGAGCGCAACCCUUGUCAUUAUUUGCUACAUUUAGUUGGGCACUCUAAUGAGACUGCCGGUGACAAACCGGAGGAAGGUGGGGAUGACGUCAAGUCCUCAUGGCCCUUAUAGGUGGGGCUACACACGUCAUACAAUGGCUGGUACAAAGGGUUGCCAACCCGCGAGGGGGAGCUAAUCCCAUAAAACCAGUCGUAGUCCGGAUCGCAGUCUGCAACUCGACUGCGUGAAGUCGGAAUCGCUAGUAAUCGUGGAUCANAAUGUCACGGUGAAUACGUUCCCGGGUCUUGUACACNCCGCCCGUCACACCAU
rnacentral:rRNA from 1 species